AACCUGCGGAAGGAUCAUUACCGAAGUAAAAUAAGAGUUCCUUGAGACUGCAAGUCCUUUUUGCGUGCUCGGGCUCUUAACACUUCUCACACACACACCCACCUCUGUGCACCUAAAAUGGGACGCCAAGUCCCCUUUUUCCCACGAAUACCAAGUUAUAUGCAUGUUUUAAUUGAUUACUUAAUCUAAACAACUUUCAACAACGGAUCUCUUGGCUUUCGCAUCGAUGAAGAACGCAGCGAAUGUGCGAAACGUAAUGUGAAUUGCAGAAUUCAGUGAAUCAUCGAAUCUUUGAACGCAUCUUGCGCUCCUUGGUAUUCCGAGGAGCAUGCCUGUUUGAGUGUCGUGAAUUACUCUCAGUUUCUCUUUUUUUUUGUUGAAACUGGACUUGAGUGCCUGCCGUGGAUUUUCCCACGGCUCAUUCUAAAUGCAUUAGCGGUCCGCUUCCGAUCACGCCACAAUGUGAUAAAUGAAAAGCAUUGGGGUUCGGAAGUGAACGACGGCUUCUAACCGUGGGACACCCACACUCUGAUCUCAUUUGACCUCAAAUGCAGGUAGGACUCCCCGCUGAACUUAAGCA
rnacentral:rRNA from 1 species